UCUUUUUUUUUAUUUCGAAUAAAUUUCAUCAAAGAAAAUUUCCACCAAAUUUUCCGUAUUUAUUAGACUGGGUUUUCAAUCUCACAAUCUAAAUUCUGCUCCCCCAAAUUCGCCUAUGAAGUAUACUUAGCAAUAGCCUUUAUUUUCCAUAAAUUGUUACAAAAACAUAACACAGUAUUUUGUAUGAUUCAAUAAAAAUCAUUAUACAAUAAACUGUUCCGACAAUAUGGAAAAUACGAAGAAUACAGAAGCAGAAGAGGCCAUGUCCGCAGCACCAUCACGUGCAAAUACGCGUCUUCAAAGGAAGUAUAAGAAGUGGUACGACACUACCAAAGUUAAGGUGGUCGAUGCUUUGAAGAAGAAACUUCGUCAUCCUCAUGGCGACUGUGUAUUACAGCUCUUAGAGGACGAUGUGGAAAUAAAGGAAUCAUUCGCUGCCGUCACAGAGGAAGUACUUGAAACACUUAGCCUGAGAAAAGAAGUGAGCGCGGCUAUAAAAGCAAUGGAGCAGAGUGAACACAAAUUGAAGCGGGAAAUGUUCUCAUAACUGUUCAGAUGUGGUUGCGAAUUAAAAUUCAUAUAAAACAUCUAUUUUGCGUUCACGUUCCUGUUCUAGGCUUCUACGCUUGUUUAAGUUUCGUGUUGAUGUCGUUAAAUUGCGAACAAAAUAAACAAAAUGACAAAUGGAUGUCGGGCCAUGCUAUACAUAUUCUUCAGCAUUAAUUUCAACUUGACAUUCUCAACAAUGGAAAAAACUAAUGCAAUAACAUAUUUCAUAUUAUUCUCAUUUGUUUUGAAAUUUGAUUUCAGUCAAUGUAUUUUAAAAUUAACCAAAGCUACAGUAUAAAACAUGUGAUAUAGACUCGCUAUUUCAAAAUAAUAUAUAUCUUUUUUCAUUUUAA